GACGAACGCUGUCGGCGUGCUUAACACAUGCAAGUCGAACGGAAAGGCCCUGCUUUUGUGGGGUGCUCGAGUGGCGAACGGGUGAGUAACACGUGAGUAACCUGCCCUUGACUUUGGGAUAACUUCAGGAAACUGGGGCUAAUACCGGAUAGGAGCUCCUGCUGCAUGGUGGGGGUUGGAAAGUUUCGGCGGUUGGGGAUGGACUCGCGGCUUAUCAGCUUGUUGGUGGGGUAGUGGCUUACCAAGGCUUUGACGGGUAGCCGGCCUGAGAGGGUGACCGGCCACAUUGGGACUGAGAUACGGCCCAGACUCCUACGGGAGGCAGCAGUGGGGAAUAUUGCACAAUGGGCGGAAGCCUGAUGCAGCAACGCCGCGUGCGGGAUGACGGCCUUCGGGUUGUAAACCGCUUUCGCCUGUGACGAAGCGUGAGUGACGGUAAUGGGUAAAGAAGCACCGGCUAACUACGUGCCAGCAGCCGCGGUGAUACGUAGGGUGCGAGCGUUGUCCGGAUUUAUUGGGCGUAAAGGGCUCGUAGGUGGUUGAUCGCGUCGGAAGUGUAAUCUUGGGGCUUAACCCUGAGCGUGCUUUCGAUACGGGUUGACUUGAGGAAGGUAGGGGAGAAUGGAAUUCCUGGUGGAGCGGUGGAAUGCGCAGAUAUCAGGAGGAACACCAGUGGCGAAGGCGGUUCUCUGGGCCUUUCCUGACGCUGAGGAGCGAAAGCGUGGGGAGCGAACAGGCUUAGAUACCCUGGUAGUCCACGCUGUAAACGGUGGGUACUAGGUGUGGGGUCCAUUCCACGGGUUCCGUGCCGUAGCUAACGCUUUAAGUACCCCGCCUGGGGAGUACGGCCGCAAGGCUAAAACUCAAAGGAAUUGACGGGGCCCCGCACAAGCGGCGGAGCAUGCGGAUUAAUUCGAUGCAACGCGUAGAACCUUACCUGGGUUUGACAUGGAUCGGGAGUGCUCAGAGAUGGGUGUGCCUCUUUUGGGGUCGGUUCACAGGUGGUGCAUGGCUGUCGUCAGCUCGUGUCGUGAGAUGUUGGGUUAAGUCCCGCAACGAGCGCAACCCUUGUUCACUGUUGCCAGCACGUUAUGGUGGGGACUCAGUGGAGACCGCCGGGGUCAACUCGGAGGAAGGUGGGGAUGACGUCAAGUCAUCAUGCCCCUUAUGUCCAGGGCUUCACGCAUGCUACAAUGGCUGGUACAGAGAGUGGCGAGCCUGUGAGGGUGAGCGAAUCUCGGAAAGCCGGUCUCAGUUCGGAUUGGGGUCUGCAACUCGACCUCAUGAAGUCGGAGUCGCUAGUAAUCGCAGAUCAGCAACGCUGCGGUGAAUACGUCCCCGGGGCU
rnacentral:rRNA from 1 species